rnacentral:rRNA from 1 species
AUUGAACGCUGGCGGCAUGCUUUACACGUGCAAGUCGAACGGUAACAGGGAGCUUGCUCCGCUGACGAGUGGCGAACGGGUGAGUAAUGCGUCGGAACGUGCCGAGUAGUGGGGGAUAACGCAUCGAAAGGUGUGCUAAUACCGCAUACGUACUGAGGUAGAAAGUGGGGGACCUUCGGGCCUCACGCUAUUCGAGCGGCCGACGUCUGAUUAGCUAGUUGGUGAGGUAAAGGCUCACCAAGGCGACGAUCAGUAGCGGGUCUGAGAGGAUGAUCCGCCACACUGGGACUGAGACACGGCCCAGACUCCUACGGGAGGCAGCAGUGGGGAAUUUUGGACAAUGGGCGCAAGCCUGAUCCAGCCAUGCCGCGUGUCUGAAGAAGGCCUUCGGGUUGUAAAGGGCUUUUGUCCGGGAGCAAAUGCCUGGUGUUAAUAGCACUGGGAGCUGAGAGUACCGGAAGAAUAAGCACCGGCUAACUACGUGCCAGCCGCCGCCGUAACAC